GGGGUCGUAGUCUAGUCUGGUCUAGGAUGCGAGCUUUGGGAGCUUGUGACGGGGGUUCAAAUCCUCCCGGCCCCA
rnacentral:tRNA from 1 species